CCGGAAUUAUUGGGGGUAAAAGGCUUGCCAGCCGGUUUUUUAAGUUUGAAGGGAAAGCCCCCGGCUCAACCGGGGAGGGUCAUUGGAAACUGGGAAACUUGAGGGCCGAAGGGGGGGANNGGAAUUCCACGUGUAGCGGUGAAAUGCGUAGAGAUUUGGAGGAACCCCCAGGGCGGAAGGCGACUUUUCCGGUCUGAAACUGACGCUGAGGAGCGAAAGCGUGGGGAGCGAACAGGAUUAGAUACCCUGGUAGUCCACGCCGUAAACGAUGAGUGCUAAGUGUUAGGGGGUUUCCGCCCCUUAGUGCUGCAGCUAACGCAUUAAGCACUCCGCCUGGGGAGUACGGUCGCAAGACUGAAACUCAAAGGAAUUGACGGGGGCCCGCACAAGCGGUGGAGCAUGUGGUUUAAUUCGAAGCAACGCGAAGAACCUUACCAGGUCUUGACAUCCUCUGACAACCCUAGAGAUAGGGCUUUCCCUUCGGGGACAGAGUGACAGGUGGUGCAUGGUUGUCGUCAGCUCGUGUCGUGAGAUGUUGGGUUAAGUCCCGCAACGAGCGCAACCCUUGAUCUUAGUUGCCAGCAUUCAGUUGGGCACUCUAAGGUGACUGCCGGUGACAAACCGGAGGAAGAGUGGGGAUGACGUCAAAUCAUCAUGCCCCUUAUGACCUGGGCUACACACGUGCUACAAUGGACAGAACAAAGGGCUGCGAGACCGCAAGGUUUAGCCAAUCCCACAAAUCUGUUCUCAGUUCGGAUCGCAGUCUGCAACUCGACUGCGUGAAGCUGGAAUUGCUAGUAAUCCC
rnacentral:rRNA from 1 species